GAUCAUGGCUCAGAAUCAACGCUGGCGGCACGCUUAACACAUGCAAGUCGAACGAGAACGCUUCCUUCGGGAGGUUAGUAAAGUGGCGGACGGGUGAGUAACACGUGGGUAAUCUGCCCUUGAGUGGGGAAUAACUUCGGGAAACUGAAGAUAAUACCGCAUACGACCCUUCGGGGUGAAAGCUUUAUGCGCUCAAGGAUGAGCCCGCGGUCGAUUAGCUAGUUGGUGGGGUAAUGGCUCACCAAGGCAACGAUCGAUAUCCGGCCUGAGAGGGCACACGGACACACUGGCACUGAGACACGGGCCAGACUCCUACGGGAGGCAGCAGUGAGGAAUCUUGGACAAUGGGGGAAACCCUGAUCCAGCGAUGCCGCGUGACCGAUGAAGGCCCUCGGGUCGUAAAGGUCUUUCGAUGGGGACUAUAAUGAAGGUACCCAUAAAAGCAGGAGCGGCUAACUAUGUGCCAGCAGCCGCGGUAAUACAUAGGCUCCAAGCGUUGUUCGGAAUUACUGGGCGUAAAGCGAGUGUAGGCGGCCCGUCAAGUCGAUUGUGAAAUCUCCCGGCUCAACUGGGAGGGUGCGGUCGAAACUGACAGGCUAGAGUUCGGGAGAGGAGAGUGGAAUUCCUGGUGUAGCGGUGAAAUGCGUAGAUAUCAGGAGGAACACCGGAGGUGAAGACGGCUCUCUGGACCGAUACUGACGCUGAGNCUCGAAAGCGUGGGGAGCAACAGGAUUAGAUACCCUGGUAGUCCACGCCCUAAACGAUGCGUACUUGGUGUAGGCACUUCACUGUGUCUGUGCCGUAGUUAACACGAUAAGUACGCCGCCUGGGGAGUACGGUCGCAAGGCUGAAACUCAAAGGAAUUGACGGGGGCCCGCACAAGCGGUGGAGCAUGUGGUUUAAUUCGACGCAACGCGAAGAACCUUACCUGGGCUUGAACUGCUUGGGCUAUUCCCAGAAACGGGAAGUUCCCUUCGGGGACCCAAGUAGAGGUGCUGCAUGGUUGUCGUCAGCUCGUGUCGUGAGAUGUUGGGUUAAGUCCCGCAACGAGCGCAACCCUCGUCCUGUGUUGCCAUUUUGGGACUCACAGGAGACCGCCAGCGACAAGCUGGAGGAAGGUGGGGACGACGUCAAGUCAUCAUGGCCUUUAUGUCCAGGGCUACACACGUGCUACAAUGGGUGGUACAACGGGUCGCGAAGCCGUGAGGCGGAGCUAAUCCCUAAAAACCAUCCCCAGUUCGGAUUGCAGGCUGCAACUCGCCUGCAUGAAGUUGGAAUCGCUAGUAAUGGCGUAUCAGAACGACGCCGUGAAUACGUUCCCGGGCCUUGUACACACCGCCCGUCACAUCACGAAAGUGGAUUGUACUAGAAAUCCGUGGCCUAACCUUCGGGAGGGAGCGGCUGAAGGUAUGAUCCAUGAUUGGGGUGAAGUCGUAACAAGGUAGCC
rnacentral:rRNA from 1 species